rnacentral:lncRNA from 1 species
UUUUUACUAGUGAGUAGAAAAACUUCCUUUUUAUACUUAAUAUAAUCACAGGUCAACUGUACUUUGGAUACCCAGUUAAUCCAUGAAAAAUGAGGGGAUUAGGGUGUCUGACUCCCAUGCAGUCAAAAAUUCAUGUUUUUAACUUUUGGCUCCCCCAAAAUGUAACUACUACUAGCCUAGUGUUGACUAGAAGCAUUACCAAUAACAUAAACAGUUGAUUAAAAAUAUUUUUGCAUAUGUAUUACAUACUGUAUUCUUACAAUAAAGUAAGCUAGAGAAAUGAAAAUAGUAUUAGGAAGGUCAUAAGGAAGAGAAAAUACAUUUGUCCAGUCAUCCUCCAGUACAUCCCUGUACUGUACCUAUUGAAAAACAUGGACAUGUGCAGUUUAAAUCAUUUUGUUUAAGAGCCAACUGUAAUAGAUUUAAAGUUUCUAAACUACAAAAAUAAUUAAAUGAGCAAAUGAUUGGGAAAAAAAUACAUUGCCUUAAUGCUUCUUAGAUCUGUAAAAUCUCCAAAAUCUAGGAUAAUCCUCAGGACAGUAUAAAAUAAAUUAGUUUUAUGGAGAUAUAAACUUCUGAGUUAUUUUGAUAUCUUUUAGAUCUAUGUAGAAAUUAAUCUUCCAUGGACCAAGAAAAAGUCUUACUAAUUAAUCUGACUUGGUGCUCGGUUUCAAAAGAAUUAAAAAAUUACUUUGCUCUUGGUAAAUUUUCAAUGAAGGCUGAGCUUUGCGAUGGCUUGCCUGGGUGGUGAUUGAGUGAAGACACAAGAUUAUUUUUAAUACUUUAUUUUUAUAGUUUUAUUUUUUUGAUCUCAUUAAAUAUUAACUUGCUCUCUAAUUUUUCUUCAAAUAUCCCUCUCUACAUACCACCUUCAUGAAGAAAAGUUCACAAGUAUUUUCUUCUUCAGAGAUUCUUUCUUGAUGUUUCAAGAAGUAUCUUAGGUAUUAAAAAAGCAAAAGCCUUUCAAUAUUUCAAUAUAGUGCUAGAAAUAGGUAUCCAUCAACACCCUAACAUCUUUCAGAUUCUUGGCAACUGAGUGGUCAUAGUGAAUUCAAGUUGUUUCCAUUUGGAAAAACCUCUGAUUGUCUCCUUGUUCCCAUUUCCUUUCUGCAGCACCCUGGCCAGGUUAGGGAGCACACAAGAUUUGGUUGUUCAACUUUCUUUUUGCUUCUUUCUUGAUUUAAUCAAUUGGGAGUUGAGGAAAAGGCAACGUACUUAGUAGCAGUAAUUGCCAUACACUUGGAAACCUUGAUAAAUUUUCCGAAAAGCUCUGGAGUGAAAGAGGGAAUAACCAGCAGAAAACUCUGUGGAGGAUAAGGAUCAUUAAGAAAGAGUGACAAAAGCAGCUAGACUUUCCAGUUCUUUUUAGUAACUUUUUCCAAUGCAACUGCACUUCUCAAAAGGUUCUGGAAAGCCAAGAGUACUUAUUAGAAGACAUUCAGUGGGUCUGGAUGCUUGCUUUUCCCCAUCAGAAUCCUAAUCUAAGGAAAAAUCAUUUAUUCAAUACAUAAUACUGAUUUGCAAAUUUUAAUUAACUGUUUCUACUAUUACUUUAUUGUAUGUAAAAGGAUUUCACCUAAGUCAUGUGAAAAUAGAUUACCAAAAAUUGAUUCCUCAAAAAUCAUUUACAACUAUUUCAUAGGCUAGAAAUGUAAAAGAGACGUGGCAGUUGCAUGUCCCUCUAUCAUCCAUAAUUGAAUUAAAAGACUGAGAUAAUAUUUCCAAUCAGUUCCUUACUGAAACAAUCAUCUUUACAAUUAGAAUACAAUUAUGAUAUCCUUCAGAUCAGUGCUACACAAAAUGUGGUAUGGUAUGUAAAUUAUUUGUUCCAGAGCAAAUAAGAUAAGUUGAGAAAGAGACAAUAGGCAUUAACAUACUUUUAGGGCAAUUUAACAUGACUAGGAUAUUCAAGUAAGUGGUUUUGUGUUUUACGAAAAUAUCAGCUGGUGAUGGGCAUGGAUGCAAAGGAUAAACUGUUCCUAUUAAGAUAGUCUCAAAGCACAGGACUUGAUAAUGAACAGUGUAGUUGCUCAUGACUAGAACACUAAACCACAAAUCUGAACAUGGGUUGCAUUUUUAACUGACAGAAAUGUUGAUAAAAAGAGCAUUGUCUCUAUUAGAAAUAAAAAGUAGUGUUUUGAUAAUCUAAAAAUAUUGACUUUUACAUCAUGUUGAGUUGGGUUAAAACUGGGACAGCUGCAUGGGCUUUUGACCUGUGCAAUUAUGCAGGAUUCUGCUAUCAGAGGGCCCCAUACUUGGUUUAUUGCUCUGUGGUUGCUGCCUUGAAAUUCUUAAUAACUUUAUUUUUGAACUUGUGUAUUUUAAGUGAAAUUCAAUAAUUGUGAUAAGAUAGUGGGCAAUAAGCAGGGGAGAUACAUGCAAGAUGUAUGGCCACCAUUCCUUGCAACUCUGUUUGCAUGUAGCCUUUCUGAUAUCUUCUGGGCACAGAAUCUUGGUGGACCCACAAGGUGUGAGAAUUCAAGGAGACUCAAAGUGAAUUCAAGGUAAAAGUGUUAUGUCUGACUAAAGGAAGGGGGUGAUACUGAUACCACCAAGUGGCCAUGCUUUCCAUGUGAUCAAAAACUUGCUUUGAAUACAGACAGAAGACACUAUUGUUUUAAAAAACACAACGAGGAAUCCUAUCAUACUCCUUAUUCCUGUUACUUCUCUAUUAUCAGCCAACCAUUUACACUACGGAUGACAUAAAAGAAAAGGUACAGAUAGGGCAUCUCAUAGUUUCUUUCCUUUUCAGUUCUUUCUUAUUCAUGAAUAAACUGAAAGUAGAGCAUUGGUCGAAUGUCUAUAUGUAUCAAGAAGUAAAAUAAAAACACUUGAAAUAAUUUUUCAUAGAAUUUCCAUUGUUCUAUUUUAACAGUGGAAUAUAUAUAUACAUAUAUGAAAGGAUGAGCUAUGAAAUAUGACUUAUAAUUUAUAAUUUUGGGUGAUUUUACAUACUAAUUAAAUGUUCUGAUAUUUACAUUGGGACAGGCAUUACCUAAUAUAAAGAUGAAUAGUAAAACUUAUGCUGAUAAUUUAAAAUUUUAAUUUUCUUUCCUUAGAACAACAGUAAAUAGCAAAUAAUAAACAGCAUGACAUGUUGAGAGAGAGUGUGCAGGAAAAGGAAAAGCCUUUAAUGGUACAUUUUUUUCCUGCUUUUUUGAGUAAGAGCCUCCACAUUUUUAUUUUGCACUGGGUCCCACAAAUUAUGUAGAUGACCCAAUUAAACAUGAUGUGCAAUGCUUAAAUUGGUGCCAUUUGCCAUUAUCCAGCCUAUAUGGUCAUAUAAGUUUAAGGAUAAUUACUUAAGGAUUAAAUUGGUGCCAUUUGCCAUUAUCCAGCCUAUAUGGUCAUAUAAGUUUAAGGAUAAUUACUUCACCAAUAUUGUUUAAGGAUAAUUAAACAAUAUUGUUAAUUACUUAUUGAUAUUGAUAAUUACUUAAUAUUGCCAUUAAUGCCAUAAUUUGCCAUUAUCCAGCCUAUAUGGUCAUAUAAGUUUAAGGAUAAUUACUUCACCAAUAUUGAACAGGCUUCAACUAUGGAGUUUCCUAAAACCCUUAAUAGGCCAAUGUACAUGCCCUACAGGGGGCAUGAGGUAUGCUACACAUCCUUCCUCAUUUGAGUCCUGGGCCCUUUCUCAAUAUUUCCAGAGAUAGAUAUUUCUCUGGACAUAUUGGGCAAUUCUGCAUCGAUCACUCAUUAGCUCUGUAAGUCACUUAACCUCUUUGAAUAUCAGUUUCUCCUGCAAAUGGAAUGCCUAACUUCGUAUUUGCUGUAAAGAUAAAAUCUUCUAACAUGUGCCAAAUACCCAGUAGGUUUUUAAUUUUAUUACUAUAUUUUCCCAUGUUCAUCAUUGUUCUAGUGGGAGCAAUAUAGUUAGGUUUACACCAUAAAUCCUUUUCUAAAAAUUUUUGGCAAUCUUGUUCACUAUGGAGUAACCAAAAGAAAACAUUGAAUAUUUCAUAGGAAUAGAGAUCAUUAUUCAAAAUUGCCUGCAUGUAUUAAGGGCUUAAUAAACAUGAUAGAAAUGAAUGAAUAAAACAAUCAUAAAGCAAAAUAAAAAGUAUCUCAAGGACAGACUGGAUUCAGACCGUGGCUUCUUCUAUUAAGCAAAUUACUUUCUCUCUCAUUUUCCUCAUUGUAAAAAUGCAAGAUGGAAUUAUUGUAAGGAGUAAAUGUUAUAGUAUUUCCAUAUAGUGCCUGGUGUAUAAUAACUGUUCAGUCUAUGUUCGCUAUGCCAAUAUGUUGAGAAUUUUACCCUUCCUCCAAGAUUCUACUAUAACCCAUGUCUCUGGUUCUCUCUUUUCUGUGAAUGAAAAUAGAGAGAUACUCAAAGAAUUCAUAACCCAAAGGAAAUAAUAAAAAUAAAUGUAACAGAAAUUAAAGAAAAAUUCAAAACAAUUUUCUAAUUCAUGUUUCUCACUCCAAAACUUGAAAAAGUUGGAGCCAGUGUCUGGUAGAUCUCCUGCUUAUUUACACUGUAUCACAAAUGGACAAGUAUUAAAAUUCCUUCCUUUUCAAAUUUUAUUUCUGAUGUUUCCCUUGGGUGUUGACUUUGAAAUAGAAUGGCCUUAUAUGAGACAUGGAGGAAAUAAGAAGGUACUGUUUACUGACUUACUGAUAGGACUAAAAUAUGACUCCUUUAUUAGACUGGGUUACAUAAGUUGAACAUAAAUGUUUUUAAGAUGCAGUUUAAAUACUGAAUUUUAUCAGUGAGUAGCAUGUGUCUUGGUAUAUAGGUGACUGGCUUCCCAGGAGACUGGAUGUUACUACUAGCUUGUGUAAUCCUCAGAAAGAUGCUAGAGAAUAGAGAAGCCUGGGAACUAAGGGUUCCAAAGAACAGUAAUGAGAAGGCUGGUAAAGAAGAUAUUAUUUUCUUUUCUUUUUUUAAAUUUUUUAUUUAUGAUAGUCACACAGAGAGAGAGAGGCAGAGACAUAGGCAGAGGGAGAAGCAGGCUCCAUGCACCGAAAGCCCGACGUGGGAUUCGAUCCCAGGUCUC